UAGCAUCUCUUACUAACCAGCUCGCCGGCGUAAGUCCCCCCCGCCCCCUUCCCCACUUGAGGUGAGGGGAGCAGGGCGCCUACGGGGCGAGGAUCCGAGGCUUGGGCGGGCACUAAGCUUGACAGGCCGGCCGGCGACCUUGGCUUUCCGGGGCCCAGGCCAACGCGCGGCGCCUCGCCCAGCGCUGCCCUCGCGCGGGGUGGAGGUGGAGGCGGAGGCGGGGGAGGCUCGCCACACCUGGGGAUCUGCAGAGGCUCGGCAUCCGGGCCGGGCGGUGGGGAGCGGGCAGCGGGGUACGCCUCGCCCCGAGCGGCCAGGAAGCGGGGACGUGGGAGCCAUCGGAGCAGCGGGGGACUCACCUGCAGCAACACGGCCAGCAGGAAGCACAGUUUUGUUAUAUUCUAGACAUGUUUAUGGAAGGAGGGAUUUUUUGUCUAUCCAAUUUUGUAGUCUCUGUCUUUUAACAGAAAUAACCAGUUCUUCUUAGAACCAGCUUUACCAUCCUCCUGGAUCCUUCAUCAAUUAAAAUAAAAUCAUUGACAUGUGUUCAUUCUGUAUGGCUAAGAGAGUCAUAUUUUUAACUUCUGAAAUUUUCCUUUGAUAUUAUGAUCAUCCUGGUGAACAGCUUGCCUUUUCCUCAUCAUCUUCUUCCCAUGGUGAAGAUAUGGGACGUGUCUAUUGAGGAGAAAGUGAAGAACUAAACUUCACAGAUGCUCUCUGAGCCCUUCAAGAAGAUCUCCAAGUCCUUGGCCGGAAAGACACACAUGGGAAAUGGUGAUGGAACUAUACCACAGCUGCUCUAGCAAAGCCACAUGCCUCCCAAGACAGCAGUAACACCUUCUCAACACAAGGUCGGGGCAGAUUUUGGAAUAAACUUGUUUUCUUAUAUCUGAGAUUCCUCAGCCUCUGCCUAAAGAAAUAGCCCUGAACUGAGACUCAGGAUACUUGGCUUUCUUAGCUACUUGGGAGACCUUGGGUAACUUAUUUAAAUUCUCUGAGCCUCAGGGUGCUCAUGAGUAAAAUGAUGAAGCCAGAAUAGAUCCAUGGUUUUCUAACACUAAGCAGUGAACUUGCCUUCCAAACAAAACUUUACAAAUCCCAAUACAUUAAACAGAUCCAAGUGGAGCUGCUCUGACAGCAGUCAGGGCAGGGAGUUGUAGGAGAUGGGGAUACAAACAGGAGCACGGUGGACCAGGGCCCCAGUGCCUCAACGUUCCUUUUGCAUCUGAGGCGCAGUUUGAAAACCUGAAUAAAUGGUCUCCGCUGUAGCUUUCAGCAUCAAAUGUUCUAAUUCCGGUAUUCUCCAUUAUACUCUGUCAGCCAGUGCUGUCAAUUAACAAGCUAUAGACUAAGAACAAACUAGGUGGAGGAUCACUCCCAAGAGGUUUAAGGCUGGUGUAGGGCUUGCAUAUAUUCUAAGUACUUUUCCUUUAGGGCCCCACUACCCUACCCUAUAAAAUAUCAAACACGUAAUUUUCUUUUGGCAUUUGACAGACAAUUUUUUUCAGGUAAACAUUUCUGAAAGUCCUUAAAAAACUCAGAGGCUGAAGGUACCAUGCCUUCAGCUCCUGAUGGAUAAAUAGCCCAGGGGAAGGAAUCUCAGUGUUAGGUCUCCUCGGGUCCAAUUUUCUUUAUUUCCAGUGAUGGAACGUGAUGGAGCAGAAUUGGCCAAUGUGCAAAACUGUCCAUUUCCUUCAGCAACUCUUUUUUUUUAACCCCCAAUAAUUCCUAUCUUGCAGCUAGACUAUGAAAAGAGCUAGUCUAGGAUAUCAAAACCAUGAGCAAAUCAAUGAAAGGAAAUAGGAGCUAUGGAAAAAUUGUGGUAGAACUGAAGCUCAGUAAAUGUUAAAAUAUCUGAUCUGAACCUGAAUAUUUCAGGGUAUGUGACCAUUGACAUAAUCAAUAAUGUCUGACUGAUAUUCCUGAGUGAAGAAAUACCUAAUUUUAGGACAAAUAAAAUAAUUAUUAGAUGAUGAACUUCUUUUGUUUUUCUAAUCUGACUGCCUGUUAGUAAUAUUAUUAAAUGUAGGCAAUAUUUUACUUUGUGGCAUUAUCAGAGAAUGAGAUAUUCUACUUGAACAAAAAGGAAAUUAACCCUUUUCUU